rnacentral:rRNA from 1 species
UACGGGGGGAGCAACGUUGUUCGGAUUUACUGGGCGUAAAGGGCGCGUAGGCGGCCACCGCAAGUCGACUGUGAAAUCUCCGGGCUUAACUCGGAAAGGUCAGCCCGAUACUGCGGGGCUAGAGUGCAGAAGGGGCAACUGGAAUUCUCGGUGUAGCGGUGAAAUGCGUAGAUAUCGAGAGGAACACCUGCGGCGAGCGGGUUGCUGGGCUGACACUGACGCUGAUUGUGCGAAAGCUAGGGGAGCGAACGGG